UUGUAGGUAGAUAGAUAGAUAGAUAUAUAUAUAUAUAUAUAUAUAUUUAUAAUCUUUUUUUUAUUUUAUUUUUUAUUUAUUUUUUAAUUGGGGUAGCCCCCAAAAUAUUGGGACAUAUACAAAAAAACAACAACUCUGUUCUGCAGAGUAGCUGUUGACAUUAUAGUUGCACAGGCACUUUAUUGACUCUAGAGAACCUCAGGCCAAUCGCAUAUCCCUGUGGUGGCGACUCUGCAUGCGGAUCUCAUCCAUAUCAACUUUUGAUGCCAGUUUCUGCACAUACCAUGGUGACCACGGGUAACAGGGAAUCAGGGUUCCAUUUUGUACAGGGACUCUGAGAAACGGCUACCACAUGCAAGGAAGGCAGCAGGCGCACAAAUUACCCACUCUCGACGCAGGGAGGUAGUGACGA